rnacentral:rRNA from 1 species
UACGGAGGGGGCUAGCGUUGUUCGGAAUUACUGGGCGUAAAGCGCACGUAGGCGGAUAUUUAAGUCAGGGGUGAAAUCCCAGAGCUCAACUCUGGAACUGCCUUUGAUACUGGGUAUCUAGAGUAUGGAAGAGGUGAGUGGAAUUCCGAGUGUAGAGGUGAAAUUCGUAGAUAUUCGGAGGAACACCAGUGGCGAAGGCGGCUCACUGGUCCAUUACUGGACGCUGAGGUGCGAAAGCGUGGGGAGCAAACAGGG